CCUACGGGAGGCAGCAGUAGGGAAUCUUCCACAAUGGACGAAAGUCUGAUGGAGCAACGCCGCGUGAGUGAAGAAGGGUUUCGGCUCGUAAAGCUCUGUUGGUAGUGAAGAAAGAUAGAGGUAGUAACUGGCCUUUAUUUGACGGUAAUUACUUAGAAAGUCACGGCUAACUACGUGCCAGCAGCCGCGGUAAUACGUAGGUGGCAAGCGUUGUCCGGAUUUAUUGGGCGUAAAGCGAGUGCAGGCGGUUCAAUAAGUCUGAUGUGAAAGCCUUCGGCUCAACCGGGGAAUUGCAUCAGAAACUGUUGGACUUGAGUGCAGAAGAGGAGGGUGGAACUCCAGGUGUAGCGGUGGAAUGCGUAGAGAUAUGGAAGAACACCAGUGGCGAAGGCGGCUCUCUGGUCUGCAACUGACGCUGAGGCUCGAAAGCAUGGGUAGCGAACAGGAUUAGAUACCCGUGUAGUC
rnacentral:rRNA from 1 species